UACGGAGGGUGCGAGCGUUGUCCGGAAUCAUUGGGUGUAAAGGGCGCGUAGGUGGCCACUUCAAGCGUGCGGUGAAAGUCGGGGGCUCAACCCCUGAUCGGCCGUGCGAACUGGGGGGCUGGAGCACUGUAGAGGCAGGCGGAAUUCCGGGUGUAGCGGUGGAAUGCGUAGAGAUCCGGAAGAACACCGGUGGCGAAGGCGGCCUGCUGGGCAGUUUUGCUGACACUGAGGCGCGACAGCGUGGGGAGCAAACAGG
rnacentral:rRNA from 1 species